rnacentral:rRNA from 1 species
CCUACGGGAGGCAGCAGUGAGGAAUAUUGGACAAUGGGCGCAAGCCUGAUCCAGCCAUGCCGCGUGCAGGAAGAAGCAUCUAUGGUGCGUAAACUGCUUUUGUACAGGAAGAAACACUCCCUCGUGAGGGAGCUUGACGGUACUGUAAGAAUAAGGACCGGCUAACUCCGUGCCAGCAGCCGCGGUAAUACGGAGGGUCCGAGCGUUAUCCGGAAUCAUUGGGUUUAAAGGGUCCGUAGGCGGUUUAAUAAGUCAGUGGUGAAAUCUGGUCGCUCAACGAUCAAACGGCCAUUGAUACUGUUAGACUUGAAUUAUAAGGAAGUAACUAGAAUAUGUAGUGUAGCGGUGAAAUGCUUAGAUAUUACAUGGAAUACCAAUUGCGAAGGCAGGUUACUACUUAUGGAUUGACGCUGAUGGACGAAAGCGUGGGGAGCGAACAGGAUUAGAUACCCUGGUAGUCCACGCCGUAAACGAUGGAUACUAGCUGUUCGGAGNAUCUGNGUGNGUAGACGAAGUAGAUAAGUAAUACCACCCGUCGGGAGGUACGGUUCGUCGAAGAAGUAGAAACGUACGAAAGAAAGUUAGUACGGACGUGAGACGUAGACCGACGGACGACGACGAGGGAGGGAGGGAGG